rnacentral:rRNA from 1 species
UGGGGAAUAUUGCGCAAUGGGGGGAACCCUGACGCAGCCAUGCCGCGUGAAUGAAGAAGGCCUUAGGGUUGUAAAGUUCUUUCGGUAUUGAGGAAGGUUGAUGUGUUAAUAGCACAUCAAAUUGACGUUAAAUACAGAAGAAGCACCGGCUAACUCCGUGCCAGCAGCCGCGGUAAUACGGAGGGUGCGAGCGUUAAUCGGAAUAACUGGGCGUAAAGGGCACGCAGGCGGUUAUUUAAGUGAGGUGUGAAAGCCCCGGGCUUAACCUGGGAAUUGCAUUUCAGACUGGGUAACUAGAGUACUUUAGGGAGGGGUAGAAUUCCACGUGUAGCGGUGAAAUGCGUAGAGAUGUGGAGGAAUACCGAAGGCGAAGGCAGCCCCUUGGGAAUGUACUGACGCUCACGUGCGAAAGCGUGGGGAGCAAACAGGAUUAGAUACCCUGGUAGUCCACGCUGUAAACGCUGUCGAUUUGGGGGUUGGGGUUUAACUCUGGCGCCCGUAGCUAACGUGAUAAAUCGACCGCCUGGGGAGUACGGCCGCAAGGUUA